rnacentral:rRNA from 1 species
CUGGCGGCAGGCCUAACACAUGCAAGUCGAACGGUAACAGGAAGCAGCUUGCUGCUUCGCUGACGAGUGGCGGACGGGUGAGUAAUGUCUGGGAAACUGCCUGAUGGAGGGGGAUAACUACUGGAAACGGUGGCUAAUACCGCAUAACGUCGCAAGACCAAAGAGGGGGACCUUCGGGCCUCUUGCCAUCAGAUGUGCCCAGAUGGGAUUAGCUUGUUGGUGAGGUAACGGCUCACCAAGGCGACGAUCCCUAGCUGGUCUGAGAGGAUGACCAGCCACACUGGAACUGAGACACGGUCCAGACUCCUACGGGAGGCAGCAGUGGGGAAUAUUGCACAAUGGGCGCAAGCCUGAUGCAGCCAUGCCGCGUGUAUGAAGAAGGCCUUCGGGUUGUAAAGUACUUUCAGCGGGGAGGAAGGUGUUGUGGUUAAUAACCGCAGCAAUUGACGUUACCCGCAGAAGAAGCACCGGCUAACUCCGUGCCAGCAGCCGCGGUAAUACGGAGGGUGCAAGCGUUAAUCGGAAUUACUGGGCGUAAAGCGCACGCAGGCGGUCUGUCAAGUCGGAUGUGAAAUCCCCGGGCUCAACCUGGGAACUGCAUUCGAAACUGGCAGGCUUGAGUCUUGUAGAGGGGGGUAGAAUUCCAGGUGUAGCGGUGAAAUGCGUAGAGAUCUGGAGGAAUACCGGUGGCGAAGGCGGCCCCCUGGACAAAGACUGACGCUCAGGUGCGAAAGCGUGGGGAGCAAACAGGAUUAGAUACCCUGGUAGUCCACGCCGUAAACGAUGUCUACUUGGAGGUUGUGCCCUUGAGGCGUGGCUUCCGGAGCUAACGCGUUAAGUAGACCGCCUGGGGAGUACGGCCGCAAGGUUAAAACUCAAAUGAAUUGACGGGGGCCCGCACAAGCGGUGGAGCAUGUGGUUUAAUUCGAUGCAACGCGAAGAACCUUACCUGGUCUUGACAUCCACAGAAGAAUCCAGAGAUGGAUUUGUGCCUUCGGGAACUGUGAGACAGGUGCUGCAUGGCUGUCGUCAGCUCGUGUUGUGAAAUGUUGGGUUAAGUCCCGCAACGAGCGCAACCCUUAUCCUUUGUUGCCAGCGGUUAGGCCGGGAACUCAAAGGAGACUGCCAGUGAUAAACUGGAGGAAGGUGGGGAUGACGUCAAGUCAUCAUGGCCCUUACGACCAGGGCUACACACGUGCUACAAUGGCGCAUACAAAGAGAAGCGACCUCGCGAGAGCAAGCGGACCUCAUAAAGUGCGUCGUAGUCCGGAUUGGAGUCUGCAACUCGACUCCAUGAAGUCGGAAUCGCUAGUAAUCGUGGAUCAGAAUGCCACGGUGAAUACGUUCCCGGGCCUUGUACACACCGCCCGUCACACCAUGGGAGUGGGUUGCAAAAGAAGUAGGUAGCUUAACCUUCGGGAGGGCGCUUACCACUUUGUGAUUCAUGACUGGGGUGAAGUCGUAACAAGGUAACCGUAGGGGAACCUGCGGUUGGAUCACCUCCUUACCUUAAAGAA